UGGAUAGAGGAAUUAUCAUUUGAACUUC
rnacentral:sRNA from 1 species